rnacentral:rRNA from 1 species
CAAGUCGAGCGGAACGAGUUAUCUGAACCUUCGGGGGACGAUAACGGCGUCGAGCGGCGGACGGGUGAGUAAUGCCUAGGAAAUUGCCCUGAUGUGGGGGAUAACCAUUGGAAACGAUGGCUAAUACCGCAUGAUGCCUACGGGCCAAAGAGGGGGACCUUCGGGCCUCUCGCGUCAGGAUAUGCCUAGGUGGGAUUAGCUAGUUGGUGAGGUAAGGGCUCACCAAGGCGACGAUCCCUAGCUGGUCUGAGAGGAUGAUCAGCCACACUGGAACUGAGACACGGUCCAGACUCCUACGGGAGGCAGCAGUGGGGAAUAUUGCACAAUGGGCGCAAGCCUGAUGCAGCCAUGCCGCGUGUGUGAAGAAGGCCUUCGGGUUGUAAAGCACUUUCAGUCGUGAGGAAGGUAGUAUAGUUAAUAGCUGUAUCAUUUGACGUUAGCGACAGAAGAAGCACCGGCUAACUCCGUGCCAGCAG